ensembl:lncRNA
CAUGUCUGUGACCACAGGCCAUCAAUCUAAAGCAGUUUGGUUAAAAACCAUCUUUUAAACACCAUUAAUAAAUGCAUGAAGUUAAUUUAGACCAGUGAUCACUGCUCCUUUUGACGAACUUCACUCAUUUUUAUGAAUGGACUUGACUUCAGUGACACUGGAUCCCGUCAAAAACAGGAAAAUGAAAUAUCAGAAACUAUCUAAACAUUUACAGGUUGUUUAUUCCUCUUUGACUAAAACUCCAACCUUCGUAAUGAAAUCACAUUUUCCCUUUUAUUUUAUUAAGAGAAAAAUAUUUCAUUUAUCUUAAAUGUAAUAUUGUAAUUUUACUCAAUUACUGUAACUCAGUACUUUUACUCUGCUUUUCUAGUACUUCUAUUCACUGACAUCUUAAUCCUGGGUUCUCCUGAGCUUGAACCUGAACGUCAGACAAACCAUCGACUGCAGGAGACAUGAGCCUCAGACCAUCUCACCAUCAUCAUCUUCAUCAUCACCAUCAUCAUCAUCAUCAUCAUCAUCAUCAGACAUGGCUGGUAAGGACAUGAGGAGGAAACAGUAGGAGCUGUGUGAGGCUACUAAAGGCAGUGGAUCCCUCAGCAGCUGGAUUACAAAGAGCACAGUCUACAGUCUCAGAUCAACACAGCCCUGCCCUCCAGCACUAUCAGCAGCAGGAGCAGCAGAAACACCUCAACAGCAACAUUGUACCCAUCAGUCCAAAGAGGGAGAGAGGAAAGAGGGGAACGUGAGGAGAAAGUACAAGGUCAGGAAGAACCAGGUAAGAAAACAGACAGGGAACAGUGACAGGCAAAACAGAAACUAUUAAACUGACGAAGAGAAAAAACCUGAUUUUACUCACACAAUCUGGAAGUUGUGUUCUCCCUAUAUUAAAGCUGCUGUACAGAAUCUGCGAAACAAACUGGGUUGAAACAUUUUCGACCCUCUUUAACAACAUUCCAACAUAACAUUAUCAUUGAUUGGGGAGAUUAAAAUUAAUGAUAUAUUUUUAUGUGGUUCAGCCACAACUCUACUAAAACCUCAGCCAGUAAUAGGUAGGCCAACUUUUGGACCGUCCAGUUGUCUGUAUGACUGCCGCAUACAGACACACUUAUCAGUGUUUCUCAAACUUUUUACAGUGUGUACCACCUGAGAAAAAUGUCAAGCUCUCCCAAGUACCACUAUGAAAGCAUGAAACUCAUAAAUCUUACAACACAAAAUUAGUAUUAUUAAAUUAGUUAAAUAAACACAAUAUUGGAAAACUGAUUAGGAGCUGGGAGGGUGACCUCCAGUGUCAGUGUGAUGAUCAUGCCUGGAGUGAGUCCAUACAAUCUGUGCAUUCUUUAUUUCUUAGUAACAGAUUUAAAGAAAUACAAUAUAAAAUUUUACAUAGACAGCAUAGAACACCUAUUUUUCUGAAUAAAAUUGAUCCGAGCAGGUCUGCACAAUGUAUUAAAUGUAAAUCUGCGCCGGGGUCCUACGUGCACUGUCUUUGGACUUGCUCAAAAAUCUCAAAAUUCUGGCUCUGUGUAACUAAAGAACUAAAAGGGAUAUUUAAAAGCAGAAUACAAAGAGAUCCAGCUCAGUAUCUAUUGGGGCUGCCAAUUUCGAACAAAUUUCCAGAUAAAAAUAAGCAUAUACUUCUAUGCAAACUACUGUUUUUGGCAAGAAAAUGUAUUCUUUUAAUUGGAUUAAUGA